UCAAACGCAAUGAACAGGAGUAGUAAAAGCUCAUUAUUCGGUGAAGAGAGCUGCGGGUUGGUGCAACGCAGUCCAAUGAUACUUUGAACUUGCCUGGGAGUGGUAAAGCGAAAGAUAGGAAUGAUUCCAUUCUUUUGUUUUAACGAUUAACCUUCGUUACAAGGUUUUAAAGCAGGGCUCUUUAAAGAGCCAAUAAGAGUGGUACCGCGGUAAGCUUAAGGCAUAUCGUCUCUUUC
rnacentral:ncRNA from 1 species